AAGGCGAGAUACAUCUUAAAGGC
rnacentral:miRNA from 1 species